AACGAACGCUGGCGGCAUGCCUAACACAUGCAAGUCGAACGAUGCCUUCGGGCCUAGUGGCGCACGGGUGCGUAACGCGUGGGAAUCUGCCUUUCGGUUCGGAAUAACUCAGGGAAACUUGAGCUAAUACCGGAUAACGUCGCAAGACCAAAGAUUUAUCCCCGAAAGAUGAGCCCGCGUAGGAUUAGCUAGUUGGUGAGGUAAAGGCUCACCAAGGCGACGAUCCUUAGCUGGUCUGAGAGGAUGAUCAGCCACACUGGGACUGAGACACGGCCCAGACUCCUACGGGAGGCAGCAGUGGGGAAUAUUGGACAAUGGGCGAAAGCCUGAUCCAGCAAUGCCGCGUGAGUGAUGAAGGCCUUAGGGUUGUAAAGCUCUUUUACCCGGGAAGAUAAUGACGGUACCGGGAGAAUAAGCCCCGGCUAACUCCGUG
rnacentral:rRNA from 1 species